rnacentral:tRNA from 1 species
CGGGGGUGGUUCGGAGGUGGUGCGAUGCCGGUGGUCAGACCACCGGUGGCGCCUGGUCCACCAGGAGCUCCGGUUCUACCAGGAGCUCUUGG